UACGUAGGGGGCAAGCGUUGUCCGGAAUUAUUGGGCGUAAAGAGCGUGUAGGCGGCCAGGUAGGUCGGUUGUGAAAACUGGAGGCUCAACCUUCAGACGUCGACCGAAACCAUCUGGCUAGAGUCCGGGAGAGGAGAGUGGAAUUCCAGGUGUAGCGGUGAAAUGCGUAGAUAUCUGGAGGAAUACCGGUGGCGAAGGCGGCAUCCUGGACCGGCAUUGACGCUGAGGAGCGAAAGCCAGGGGAGCAAACGGG
rnacentral:rRNA from 1 species